AAAUGAAAAUUACAAUGAUAAAAUGUUUUCCUCUACCUAUGAACAUUUUUCUACAAACGCAUUCUUGAUUUUUCUCCCUUCGGGCGAAGAUUCUUACUGCUCUUCAUGCACCACAACCAUCUGUUAUUCUAUUUUCAUACGCUCACGGAGUUUAUAUAAUCCGUGCAUAUGAUGGAGGAUUUCGAUAUCGUCAACAAGAUACCUGCGUUAUAUGAACUCUGGAAGCGUAGAAUGUGCAAGAGCUGGUGAAACAUCCUUCUGGCAAUGUGUGAUAAGACAUAGGAACCUUUCUGUGGAAACCAGUAUAGAAGAAAUAUGCUAACAAGAACUCAAUACUGGCAUCAUGAUGCUAAAAAAAGGAAGCACAGAUAAUGUAAAGAAAAUAACUAAGAGUACUAAGAAUGUAAUGUGCUGAAGUAUGUAUGAAAUUUUGAUAUGCUAUUUACAAGAUUUAGCAAGAAGUAUUGUCUAUGUUAGUUUGUUUAAAAAAUUUACUUCUUCAAAAACCAACAGAAUUCCAUGCAUAUUUAACAAAUACUUGAAAUUUAUGAUUUUAAUGCAUUAUAAUAACUUCUUGCAAUGUUAUCUUAAAAUUGUUAGUCCUCAUAUGAUUUUAAUUCAUUAUAAUGGAUAUAUAAACUUGUAAUAUCUCUCAUUACAAAUCAUUAAUUCUUAGUGUUGUGUAUAUUAAGAUUCCAUCUGAGAUAUUUUUUUUUUUACCAAGCAUCUUCAAAUGAUAUAUAAUUUAUUAUAUAGUUAAUUACAUUUUUGAGGAUGAUGUAUUUGUAUACGUAUUUGGUUUUACAGUAUUUAUUACUAUUACUAUUGUAUUUGUAGCUCAAAACUUAAUAUACUGCUUCAAGAAAUAAUACAUUAAAGUUGUUUUAAAUGUUUUUUGACAAGAUUAGUAUUAUAAUAUUACUCUUUUUUAUUAAAAAUGAUGAUACAAAUAUAAAAGUGUUAUGCUUCCUGAAAAUUUCGAGCAGAAUAGCAAAAAAUAAAGAUUAAUUAGAUACAGUCAUAGAUACGAGUAUUUUUUUUAUUACUGCGAAAAAAUUUUUGAUGUAUUCACUAUGCACUUUUUUGUAAUAUAUUCAUGUAAUAAAACCAUUUUUGUAAUAAAUCCA
rnacentral:lncRNA from 1 species